rnacentral:rRNA from 1 species
AACGGGUGCGGAACACGUACGCAAUCUACCUUCAACUGGGGCAUAGCCCGAAGAAAUUCGGAUUAACACCCCAUAAGAUAACUAACAGGCAUCUGUUUGUUAUUAAAACUGAGGUGGUUGGAGAUGAGCGUGCGUCCCAUUAGAUAGUUGGUAGGGUAACGGCCUACCAAGUCGACGAUGGGUAGCUGAUGUGAGAGCAUGAUCAGCCACACGGGCACUGAGACACGGGCCCGACUCCUACGGGAGGCAGCAGUGAGGAAUAUUGGUCAAUGGACGCAAGUCUGAACCAGCCAUGCCGCGUGCAGGAUGAAGGCCUUCUGGGUUGUAAACUGCUUUUAUCAGGGAAGAAACCACAGAUUUCUAUUUGUGCCGACGGUACCUGAGGAAUAAGCACCGGCUAACUCCGUGCCAGCAGACGCGGUAAUACGGAGGGUGCAAGCGUUAUCCGGAUUCACUGGGUUUAAAGGGUGUGUAGGCGGGGCUUGUAAGUCCGAGGUGAAAAUCUCCGAGCUCAACUUGGAAACUGCCUUG